UUGCGCCUACGGGAGGCAGCAGUGGGGAAUAUUGCACAAUGGGGGGAACCCUGAUGCAGCGACGCCGCGUGGGUGAAGGAGCACCUCGGUGCGUAAAGCCCUAUCGGCAGGGAAGAAAAGCGAACAGGUUCGCCUGGACGGUACCUGGCUAAGAAGCCCCGGCUAACUACGUGCCAGCAGCCGCGGGAAUACGUAGGGGGCAAGCGUUUUCCGGAUUCACUGGGGGUAAAGG
rnacentral:rRNA from 1 species